rnacentral:rRNA from 1 species
UACGAAGGGGGCUAGCGUUGCUCGGAAUCACUGGGCGUAAAGGGUGCGUAGGCGGAUCUUUAAGUCAGGGGUGAAAUCCUGGAGCUCAACUCCAGAACUGCCUUUGAUACUGAGGAUCUCGAGUUCGGGAGAGGUGAGUGGAACUGCGAGUGUAGAGGUGAAAUUCGUAGAUAUUCGGAAGAACACCAGUGGCGAAGGCGACUUACUGGACACAUAUUGACGCUGAGGUGCGAAAGCGUGGGGAGCAAACAGG